rnacentral:tRNA from 1 species
GGCUGGAUAGCUCAGUCGGUAGAGCACUGGUACGGUAUUCCAGAGGCCGCAAGUUCAAAUCCUGCUCCAGUCA